UAGGUAGUUUCAAGUUGUUGGGCUGGAUUGUUAAGAUCACAGGAACCUGAAACUGCCUGAAU
rnacentral:pre_miRNA from 1 species